GUAACAAGGUUUCCGUAGGUGAACCUGCGGAAGGAUCAUUACUGUGAUUUUUUAACACCACACUGUGUGGGCGCACGAAACACAUAAACUAUAGUAUAACAGCAGUCAACAAAAGAUCUAAAAGAAUAAAACUUUCAACAACGGAUCUCUUGGUUCUCGCAUCGAUGAAGAGCGCAGCGAAAUGCGAUACCUAGUGUGAAUUGCAGCCAUCGUGAAUCAUCGAGUUCUUGAACGCACAUUGCGCCCGUCGGUAUUCCGGCGGGCAUGCCUGUCUGAGCGUCGUUUCCUUCUUGCGGUUUUUGCAAAAAUUAGUUAUAUUUUUUUUGUGGAGACGGCAGAGCUGGCCGUGCCACUGGCCCGGCCGAAAAGAAACGUUGCGGACGAAGCGAACUACAUCGGGACGCUUUGGCCGCCGAGCGAAAAACACCAUUGAGCUCGACCUCAGAUCAGGUAGGAGUACCCGCUGAACUUAAGCAUAUC
rnacentral:rRNA from 1 species